rnacentral:rRNA from 1 species
GACGAACGCUGGCGGCGUGCCUAAUACAUGCAAGUAGAACGCACAGUUUAUACCGUAGCUUGCUACACCAUAGACUGUGAGUUGCGAACGGGUGAGUAACGCGUAGGUAACCUGCCUGGUAGCGGGGGAUAACUAUUGGAAACGAUAGCUAAUACCGCAUAAUAUUAAUUAUUGCAUGAUAAUUAAUUGAAAGGUGCAAUUGCACCACUACCAGAUGGACCUGCGUUGUAUUAGCUAGUAGGUGAGGUAACGGCUCACCUAGGCGACGAUACAUAGCCGACCUGAGAGGGUGAGCGGCCACACUGGGACUGAGACACGGCCCAGACUCCUACGGGAGGCAGCAGUAGGGAAUCUUCGGCAAUGGACGAAAGGCUGACCGAGCAACGCCGCGUGAGUGAAGAAGGUUUUCGGAUCGUAAAGCUCUGUUGUAAGAGAAGAACGGGUGUGAGAGUGGAAAGUUCACACUGUGACGGUAGCUUACCAGAAAGGGACGGCUAACUACGUG